rfam:Caenorhabditis brenneri strain PB2801 C_brenneri-6.0.1_Cont31.12, whole genome shotgun sequence.
GCCCCCGUGGCCUAACUGGUAGCGCUGUUGUCUUAGAAUUUUUCAUCCCGGGUUCGAACCCCGGUGGGGUCA